rnacentral:rRNA from 1 species
CACCUCUAGCAUAACAACUAUUAGAGGCACUGCCUGCCCAGUGACAUCUGUUAAACGGCCGCGGUAUCCUGACCGUGCAAAGGUAGCAUAAUCAUUUGUUCUCUAAAUAAGGACUUGUAUGAAUGGCCACACGAGGGUUUUACUGUCUCUUACUUCCAAUCAGUGAAAUUGACCUUCCCGUGAAGAGGCGGGAAUAUACAAAUAAGACGAGAAGACCCUAUGGAGCUUUAAUUAACUAGCCCAAUAAAUAAAUAACUCACACUUCUAAGGAAAGCAAGAAACCUUUUGAUGGGCUAACAAUUUAGGUUGGGGUGACCUCGGAAUACAAAACAACUUCCGAGAGACAAAAACCUAGACUAACAAGUCAACGAACGCAGUCAUUUAUUGAUCCAAAAAAAAUUGAUCAACGGAACAAGUUACCCUAGGGAUAACAGCGCAAUCCUAUUUGAGAGUCCAUAUCGAUAAUAGGGUUUACGACCUCGAUGUUGGAUCAGGACAUCCCAAUGGUGCAGCCGCUAUUAAUGGUUCGUUUGUUCAACGAUUAAAGUCCU